rnacentral:ncRNA from 1 species
GUUCUCAGGGCGGGGUGAAAGUCCCCACCGGCGGUAAUCGCAAGGGAAUGCCAGCAGUGCUGGCACAGCUUGUGUAGCCCGCGGGCGCUCUCGAUCUAUGACGACUAGCCAUACUUGGUUAGAAGGCAGUUGAGAGGACAGCAGACUCGGUGUGAUUCCGGGGCCGACAGUUAAAGUCUGGUUAUGAGAAUG